UAGAAUAAUUCUAAAUAUGGGCUUUCCAUUUGAUUGCAAAUUUUACCAGUUAGAUAUAUGGCACAUAAUGAUACUGUAAUUAAGCCCAGUAUGUUAAGUGAUCAAUUGGGCUAUCAAUUUAAAAUUGUGAUUUUGUUUCUUGGCAUGAUUAUUGGAGACCUGAUUUUCACUAUGCACAAAGGCUGUGAACCUCAUCUUCACGGGACGCAAAGGUUGGGGAGCAGAGAUGGAAUUUGACAGAGUAAAGAAAAGUCACCGACUGCUCUUUAUGUUCAUCCUUUUCUUUAUUGGUCUUGUUUUUUAACCUUUGCCUAAAAUUAUCUCUGGUAUUUAAUUCCUGCGUUGUCAGGUGCCUGUGUCCACACAGGGAAAGGGGUAGAAAUAUGAAUGCAUCAGAAAAGCAGAAAAAGUGUUUCUGAAUUCUCAUUUUGCAAUUUGUCUUCUUUUUUCUUUUCUUUUAUGUCCUAAUGGAAUUCAAAUGCAGUUAAUGCAGUUUGGUGAGGCUGUCUGAUCGAGGGCAGGAUGGUGAUGCAUCACAAUUCCACUAUAUAUAAAUAUAUAAGCGUAAAUGUCUCUAAGUGUACUUGCAAGUUAUAUUUGUCUGUAUCAUUAAGAACCAGAAUUUCAUUUUAUUUGCAAUGAGGAUAUCUGUGCUUUUACUUGUGCUUAUUCAUUAUCAAAUUCUGGUGGGAAUAGGUUCAAAAUCUGUGGCAAGAGAGAUUUUCUUUGUCCCGACAGAUUCUUCUUCUAAUCAUGGAAAAUUGUCAUCAGAUUCUGCAAUUGGCCGUAACUCCAUUGGACUCCAUUUUUUCAGGUACUCGUCUUGGUCGAGCCACUCCUCGAAGAAAAACAAGAUCAGAGGUGAAGAUGGAGAUGAAGAUGAAAAGCGCGUGGUUCCAACAGGAUCAAAUCCCUUACACAACAGGUAGAAGAGAAGGGAAUUUCUUGCAAUCAUGUUUGUUUAUUAGAAAUCAAUAUUAUUUAAGAUGUUGUAAUUUGAAUAUUAAUUAUCCUCUUCUUGCAUUAUGUAAUACUUGGCUACCAAAUGAUUCUUCCUUACCAACAUUACUAUUUGAGGCAAUCAUGUUGCAUGUAAUUAUAAUAAUUUAAUUAAGCAGGGCCAAGGAAUUAUGAAUUUUUAUUUAUGAAGAAAGGACAUGAGAAAUGAUAAUUUGUCUUUUU
rnacentral:lncRNA from 1 species